rnacentral:hammerhead_ribozyme from 1 species
AUCCAUCUGACGAGUCUCAAAUAGGACGAAACGCGCAUCCUGCAU